AAACUUGGUCUCCCAUGGCAAAUUCCAACGGUCACUUAUGAUUGUUGGCAUAACUCUUCUGAUGACUCUGGGCGGUAGCCAAAUUUAUACGAAUGAUUUGCGAUCUUCUCAAUAGUCUCCUGAAUAAAGUCUAGUCCUAAAUGACGCUGGUUUCUGAUUUCGUUUUAACAGGUAGGAGAACAGCAAGGCCUACGGUACAAUUCUUCAU
rnacentral:lncRNA from 1 species